CGUCCCCAUCACGACGUCCCCAUCCCACCAUGAUGUCCCCAUCCCACCACGAUGUCACCACCAUGACGUCCUCAUCCCAUCACGAUGUCACCACCACGAUGUCCCCAUCCAUCCCAUCCUGAUGUCCCCAUCUCAUCACGAUGUCACCACCAUGUUGUCCCCACCACGAUGUCACCACCACGAUGUCCCCACCACGAUGUCCCCAUCCCAUCACGAUGUCCCCAUUAAUCCCAUCCUGAUGUCCCCAUCCUGUCAUGAUGUCACCACCACGAUGUCCCCAUCCCAUCCUGAUGUCCCCAUCCCGUCACGAUGUCCCCAUCCUGUCACGAUGUCACCAUCACGACGUCCCCACCCACCCCAUAGCGACGCCCCCACCCCAUUUCAGGUCCCCACCCCACCACCAUGCCGUCUGUCCCGUCGUGACAACAUCCGUCUGUCCCACCAUGAUGGUGUCCCUGCACCCCACAGCGACGCCCUCACCCCAUAGCGUCGUCCACCCACCCCAUAGCGACGCCCCCACCCCAUUCGAGGUCCCCACCCCAACACGAGCACGUCCGUCCCGUCGUCA
rnacentral:lncRNA from 1 species